rnacentral:rRNA from 1 species
UUAAAGCACUUUCAAUGGGGGAGGGAAAACAGUCAGCUUAAUACGCUGACUCUUGACAUUACCUGUAGAAGAAGCACCGGCUAACUCCGUGC